GACGAACGCUGGCGGCGUGCCUAAUACAUGCAAGUAGAACGCACAGUUUAUACCGUAGCUUGCUACACCAUAAACUGUGAGUUGCGAACGGGUGAGUAACGCGUAGGUAACCUGCCUGGUAGCGGGGGAUAACUAUUGGAAACGAUAGCUAAUACCGCAUAAUAUUGAUUAUUGCAUGAUAAUUGAUUGAAAGAUGCUAUUGCAUCACUACCAGAUGGACCUGCGUUGUAUUAGCUAGUAGGUGAGGUAACGGCUCACCUAGGCGACGAUACAUAGCCGACCUGAGAGGGUGAUCGGCCACACUGGGACUGAGACACGGCCCAGACUCCUACGGGAGGCAGCAGUAGGGAAUCUUCGGCAAUGGACGAAAGUCUGACCGAGCAGCGCCGCGUGAGUGAAGAAGGUUUUCGGAUCGUAAAGCUCUGUUGUAAGAGAAGAACGGGUGUGAGGGUGGAAAGUUCACACUGUGACGGUAGCUUACCAGAAAGGGACGGCUAACUACGUG
rnacentral:rRNA from 1 species